UUUGCCUUUGGUUUUUUAAUCAGGAUCAAAUCAGACGUGGCGUGAACACGGUUUGUAAAUUACCCAGAGGUGAGCCGCUGCUGUCAGCAUCAUUCCUCCUUCGCGUGGGGACCCUCCUGUUCUCCCCGCACGCGCCCCAGGCCGGCGGCGCGCACAGCAACAGUCCUUGUUUGCAGACUGUAUCCGCAGCAGCGCUCCUCCGGGGACCGCUCAGCCCCUGAAUUCUGAAGAAAUCGCUUACCGACUGAGGGAGCGCCAGACUUCCCCCAGGCAUCUCCUGCUUCCUGAAGGGACACCCCCAAUGCCGCAAAAGUUCUGAAAAGUAAUUUCGCUCUCAUUAAUUCUAGAACCAAACAAGAGCGGAGAGAGAAGGAAGAUGACGACCAGAAUUAAAAGACAAGGCAGAGAGGAACCAGAGGUACUUGGUUGCGGGGUGGGGGCGAGGGAUGGGGCGUGAGACGCACCGACUACCACGCACUCCAGAUGCCUGGCACCGCCAAGUGGAGCGGGCGGAGGGGGGCGUGGCCAAGGCAGGGCCCCCCGGGGGCGGGACCUGGGCACAAGGGCCAGAAGGAAGAGGAUGGGACUGCCUAAGACGUCCAGCUACAUCUUCCUGGCCGACCGAGUUACCCAGAAACAGAAACGAGGGGGAAAACAGGCCAGAUGGAGGGACCACUGCAUCUCCAAGUGCUAUGGGUUGAAUGGUGUCCUCUCAAAUUUCACAUGCUGCAGUUCUAACCCCCAGCACAGAAUGUGACUGUGGGUGGACCUAGGGUCCUUGCCGAGGUAAUUGGUUAAGAUGAGGUCAUUGGUGUGGGCCCUAAUCAAAUAUGAAUGCCAGGAGAAUGCCAUUUGAAGGGACAUGGCCAGCUUCAAGCCAAAGAGAGAAGCCCUGAACAGAUUCUUUCUCACUGCCCUCAGCAGGCACCCACCCUGCCCACACCUCCAUCUUGGACUGCCGGCCUCCAGAGCUGGGGGACCAUGAAUGUAUGUUGUUUAGGCCGCCCCAUCUGCGGUACUUUGUUACAGCAGCUCUAGCAAACUGAUCCACAGACGAAGUCACAGAGGCCUGGACAUGCGUGGGGAUGAUGGGGCAGGACGGCAGACGAUUUGCAGAGAAGUGGGGAGGGGGAAGGGGGCAGAUGAGGCUUGAGAGGGGGGCUCAGAGUGUCCUGCUCAGGAGUUUGGGGGUUACCUUUGAUCAGUGGGGAGGCAUGGAGGCCUCGUUCAAGUGGGGAGGGAAGCCAGUCAGUUUGGGCUUUUUAGAAAACCCAUCCUGGCUGCAGAGGGGAGGGGGCGGCCAUGACCGUGGGGGCCAGAGGCGGAGUUCAAGGGCGGGGGCUGGAGAGCAGAGGGCAGCUCUGGGGGAAUUUAAGCGUUGCAUCCCCAGGACGCCACAGCAGCCAGCGGGGGGCUGCGGGGUGUCUCACUUGGCUCACGCUGCCCUAACAAAGUCCACAGACUGGGCGGCUUAAAUAACAGGUGUUAGUUUAUCCCAGUUCCGGAGGCUGGAAGUCCAAGAUCAAGGUGUUGGCAGGCUUCUCCUGAGGUCUCCGUCCUCGGCCGGUAGACCGUCUUCUCCCUGGGCCCUCACGUGGUCGUCCCUCUGUGUGUCUGUGUGCCUGUCGCCUCCUUGAAGGACACGAGGCCAAUUGGAUUAUAACCCACCCAUGUGACCUCAUCUAAUAUUUUUUUCAAUUGAAAUUUACAUGUCCUGAGCCCACAUUAAAUGGGCUAAGAAAUGACCUUUUCCUCAUCUGGGCCCACUCCCUGCUCUUUCUCCCCGACUGGGUGUAUCCUGUUUCACCAGUUUUCCAAAAACGUGCAGUCUGCUACAACAGAGACUGCAGAGGCUAGAAUCUUCUCAGAAGUAGCAGAAGUGGUGGUCACAGCCAGAGGAGAAUUCGCUCUAUUUGAAGCCUGCCUAUGGACUCAUGGAUUGGGCUGGUGCUCCAGUCAUGGGAAAAAAACGGCCCCGACACGCUGCGUGAUUGCGACUCAAAGUGUAAAUGGAGUUUCAUCAGCUGUGGCCCCGGGGGCUUCUUCCACAAAGCUGGUAGAUUUCACAAAAAUCGGGAGAGAAUUCGGAAGCCUUUGUGUUCACACACGCCUCUGUGGCUGUCUCCCGGGGGAGGGGGCGGUGAGGAAAGUCACAGAGGGACAGAUGGGACAGAGAAGCCCAGGGCCUUCCUGAGUGAGCAUGGUGCCAGCGGAAGCACAGACGGCUCUGGAAGGCAGGCAGGCAGGUCAGCCCAGGGUGCGGGGGACGAGCCUUCUGUGGGGCUGUCACACAACCUUCAGUCGGUGACCCUGAAGGCAGCAGUUCCAGCUGGCUGUCCACCUCAUUUUAGUGUCAUUACCUCUUUAAAGACCCUGUCUCCAAACAGGCUCACUUCUGGGGUGCUAGGGGGCUAGGCCCCAACAUGUGAACGGAGGGGAGGGUACACAGUUCGGCCCAUAACAAAGGGACACCCGUGUUUCUGUGGCAGUUUUCACUCCAAACUCAUGGCUCAUUGUGACAAAUUAAAGAAAACCUAGUGUCCCAACUGCUCCCCCAGGCUGGCCCUCACAAGUGACCAUUUUCCUCCUGGCUCCAGCCUUCUCCACCAGGUCCCAAACCUAAUCUCCAUUCCUCCCAGUGAUAUUUAUGGAGCUGGCUGGGCACGAGAUGUGAUUCUGUGGGGACAGUGAACUGGUUCCAUCUCUCCUGGGGGUGAACUGGCAUGAACCAAGUUCAAAUGAAGAGACAGAUUAAAAACCACAAUGCCAAUUUUGUGACAUGCCCUGAGAAACACAGCUAUCGGGGUGUGCAGGUGGACAGGCCAGUGUCCUCUCUCCCUCAGGCCCACCUCCAAGGACAGCCAGACAACCCUCAGCCGGCCACUCCGGGGGACGGAACCUCUUCCACACUCCCUGCUCCCUCUCCCAUGCCGGGGACCAGCCUUGGUGGACAGCCUGAUGCCUGGGCCAAGAUGCCUCCUGCCUGGCCCCAGCUGGACAGCUCUGCCCACAGCUGUCUCCAGGCCCUGGCUUACCAGCCCCUUCUUGCUGCAACAGUAUGAUUCAAUUGGCCAGGUUUCCACUGACUGAAAUUACAAACCUAAACCUGGCUGCCUCUGGGAAACUGCUCCUAAUCCGAGAGCACAGGAGUUCUGGGUCUUUCCAAAGCCUCCUGCCUCUCAUUUAUUCACAGCCCGUGGGUCCCAUCUCAGGCAAAUCCCAGCCAGGGCAGAGAUGUGACUUUUCCAGGCAGCCUCACUUCCAGGGGCAGACUUUUGGUAAAGCGAACAAAGCCCCAGCGUUAGGACCCCUCCUUUGCUUGGGCCCCUGUGACAGCUCGAAGAUGCUGGAGCCUCUGCAUUGCUGAUUAUUAGAGAUAUGCAAAUCGAAACCAUGAGGUACCAACUCGCACUGGUCAGAAUGGCCAUCAGCAAAAAGUCUACAAAUAACACAUGCUGGAGAGGAUGUGGAGAAAACGGACUCCUACACUGCUGGUGCAGCCGCUAUGGAGAAGAGAACGGAAGUUCCCGAAAAUACUAAAAAAUAGUUACUACAUGACCCAGCAAUCUCACUCCUGGGCAUACAUCCAGAAAAGGCAAAGCUCUCAUUUGAGAAGGUACAUGCACCCCAAUGUUCAAAGCAGCACUAUUUAUGGUAGUCAAGACAUGCAAGCCACCUAGGAGUUCCCAUCGCGGCUCAGUGGUUAACGAAUCUGACUAGGAACCAUGAGGUUGCGGGUUCGAUCCCUGGCCUCACUCAGUGCGUUAAGGAUCUGGCUUUUUGCUGUGGCUCUGGUGUAGGUCGGUGGCUACAGCUCCAAUUAGACCCCUGGCCUGGGAACUUCCAUGGGCCAUGGGUGCGGCCCUAG
rnacentral:lncRNA from 1 species